CAGUCGCCGCGGGAAUACGAAGGUCCCGAGCGUUGUUCGGAAUCACUGGGCGUAAAGGGAGCGUAGGCGGCGUGGUAAGUCAGAUGUGAAAUCCCGGGGCUCAACCCCGGAACUGCAUCCGAUACUGCCGUGCUAGAGGAUUGGAGAGGUAGCUGGAAUUCUUGGUGUAGCAGUGAAAUGCGUGGAGAUCAAGAGGAACACUCGUGGCGAAAGCGAGCUACUGGACAAUAUCUGACGCUGAGGCUCGAAGGCCAGGGUAGCGAAAGGGACUAGAUACCCCUGUAGUCCCUGUCUCUUAUAC
rnacentral:rRNA from 1 species